ACAGUAGUUUGCACAUUGAUUA
rnacentral:miRNA from 1 species